GGAAUCCUCGGGCGCAGCAGUAGGGAAUAUUGCUCAAUGGGGGAAACCCUGAAGCAGCAACGCCGCGUGGAGGAUGAAGGUUUUAGGAUUGUAAACUCCUUUUGUUAGAGAAGAUUAUGACGGUAUCUAACGAAUAAGCACCGGCUAACUCCGUGCCAGCAGCCGCGGUAAUACGGAGGGUGCAAGCGUUACUCGGAAUCACUGGGCGUAAAGAGUGCGUAGGCGGGGUAAUAAGUCAGAUGUGAAAUCCUGUAGCUUAACUACAGAACUGCAUUUGAAACUGUUACUCUGGAGUGUGGGAGAGG
rnacentral:rRNA from 1 species